UAUUGGACAAUGGGGGGAACCCUGAUCCAGCGACGCCGCGUGAGUGAAGAAGUAUAUCGGCACGUAAAGCUCUAUCAGCAGGGAAGAAAGAAAUGACGGCACCUGACUAAGAAGCCCCGGCUAACCACGUGCCAGCAGCCGCGGUAAUACGUAGGGGGCAAGCGUUAUCCGGAUUUACUGGGUGUAAAGGGAGCGUAGACGGCGAUGCAAGUCUGAAGUGAAAGGCGGGGGCCCAACCCCCGGACUGCUUUGGAAACUGUAUGGCUGGAGUGCAGGAGAGGUAAGUGGAAUUCCUAGUGUAGCGGUGAAAUGCGUAGAUAUUAGGAGGAACACCAGUGGCGAAGGCGGCUUACUGGACGACAACUGACGCUGAGGCUCGAAAGCGUGGGGAGCA
rnacentral:rRNA from 1 species